AAACUUACACAUGCAAGUCUCAGCAGACCCGUGAGGACGCCCUUUACCCUACACCAGACCUAGGAGCUGGCAUCAGGCAUUAAAUUUACCCAUUACGCCUAGUCCCACCACGCCCAUAAGGGCCUUCAGCAGUGAUAAAUAUUGUUUAUAAGCGACAGCUUGACUCAGUUACAGGAAAGAGAGCUGGCUAACUCGGUGCCAGCCGCCGCGGCUAAACCGCACGAGCCCAAGUUGAUAAUUACCGGCGUUAAGCGUGAUUAAAGACCCCCCCCCAUCAAUUAGAGCAAAAUCUGUAUUCAGCCGUGACAAGCUUAUACCAGAGAAAAAUAAAAACGAAAGUUGCCCUAAUCCACUUGAAUACACGACAGUUGGGAAACAAACUGGGAUUAGAUACCCCACUAUGCCCCACCGUAAAAUAUUAACCUACACUAAAAACGCCAGGGUAUUACGAGCCUCAGCUUAAAACCCAAAGGACUUGACGGUGUCCCACCCAACUAGAGGAGCCUGUUCUAUAAUCGAUAACCCCCGAUAUACCUAACCCCAUUUUGCAAAUCAGCCUGUAUACCUCCGUCGCAAGCUUACCAUAUGAAUGCCAACAGUAAGUCUAAUGGUCACACACCAACACGUCAGGUCAAGGUGCAGCUUAUAAUAGGGCAAGCAAUGGGCUACAAUUUCUAAUAUAGAAUAUACGGAAUGCCACCUGAAACACAACAUGAAGGCGGAUUUAGUAGUAAAAAUGAAAUAACGUGUCCUUCUUAACAAGGCCCUGGGACGUGUACACACCGCCCGUCACCCUCUUCAAUAAUACACCACCCGUUUAUUACAACUCAAUAUAUACUAGAAGAGGCAAGUCGUAACAUGGUAAGUGUACCGGAAGGUGCACUUGGAUUACCAAAAUAUAGCUUAAACAAAGCCUCUCGCUUACACCGAGAAGACAUCCGUGAAAACCAGAUUAUUUUGAGCCUAAAAUUAAGCCUAAUUCAACCUCAUGCAUCUUUACCCCAACAAACCUUAAUAAAACAUUUUAUCAGUUUAGUAAAGGCGAUUAAAAAACUUAUUAGCGCUUUAUUGCAAGUACCGCAAGGGAAAAAUGAAAUAGCUUUGAAAUAGAACUUAAGCAAUUUAUAGCAGAGAUUACCCCUCGUACCUUUUGCAUCAUGGUUUAGUUAGUCUCACUCAAGCAAAACGAAACAUCAGUUUGACCCCCCGAAACUAAGCGAGCUACUUUUAAACAGCUCAAUGGAGCCAACCCGUCUCUGUUGCAAAAGAGUGGGAUGAUUUUUAAGUAGAGGUGAAAAGCCUAACGAGCUUAGAGAUAGCUGGUUAUUCAGAAAUAGAAUUUUAGUUCAACCUUAAGUUUUCUUAUUUUACACAAAACUACCACAAACUUAAGAGCUAUUCAAAUAAGGCACAGCUUAUUUGAAAAAGGAUACAACCUACAAAAAAGGGUAAAAAAUAUUAUACAAACCAAGUUGGCCUGAAAGCAGCCAUCUUUAAGAAAGCGUUAAAGCUCCUCUCUUUUCCUUAAUAAUCCCUCUAAACAUAUUAAACCCUUCAUUAUUACUGAAUGAUUCUAUAACUUAUAGAAGUCCUGAUACUAAAACUAGUAACAAGAAAAAGUAUUUCUCCAAAAUAUAAGUAUAAGCCUUACUGGACAAACCAUUGGCAGUUAACGUUUAUAAAAUCACUGUAGUAACCCCACGAGAAAAUUCUACAAAUACAAACGUUAAUCUUACACAAGCAUAUUGCAGGAAAGAUAAAAGAAAGGAA
rnacentral:ncRNA from 1 species